AUUGAACGCUGGCGGCAGGCCUAACACAUGCAAGUCGAGCGAGCGGCGGACGGGUGAGUAAUGUAUGGGGACUGCCCGUUAGAGGGGGAUAACUACUGGAACCGGUGGCUAAUACCGCAUACUAUCAGAUAAGCCAUAUGGGAUUAGCUAGUAGGUGGGGUAAAGGCUCACAUAGGCGACGAUCACUAGCUGGUCUGAGAGGAUGAUGAGCCACACGGGAACGGAGACACGGCCCAGACUCUUACGGAGGCAGCAGAGGGGAAUAUUGCACAAUGGGCGCAAGCCUGAUGCAGACCGGCCGCGUGGAUGAAGAGGGUCUUGGGUUUGUAAGGUACUUUGAGUGGGGAGGCGUUACCGACAGAGGAAGCGCCGGCUAACUCCGUGCCAGCAGCCGCGGUAAUUC
rnacentral:rRNA from 1 species